ACAAAAUUACCAUUUUACCAGACAUAGCCUUACGCCGCCGCCGGCCGCCAUGACCCAUCGGGACAAGAAUUUCACGCAGCAGAACUCAUGCUCUCUCCCUCUCGCGCUCUUCCAUUUCAUAGACGAAAACCCGUAGUUUGCCCAAUCCCAAAGGCUAACUCUCUCUGCCGGAGCUCUUCGGCCUCUAUCUUAUCAGGCGAGCCCCCAUCGCCAGAUGAUGUUGCCGAUAUCAUCCUCCGGCAGAAAUCCGCCGCCCUCUCCCUCCGCACCUUUCGGUGGGCUCUCGCUCUCCCCUCCUUCACUCCGACACCCUCCGUCUACCAAGCCCUCAUCCGCUCUCUUCUCUCCUUCCGCCGCUUCGACACCGCCCUCGAAGUCCUUUCCAACCUCCCCUCAUCUCCCGACGAAGCCACCCUCGUCGCCCUCUUCCGUGAACUAGGCCGCGCUGGCAUGACUCACCGCGCCCUCCAACUGUUCGAUGAAUUGCCUGACCUGUUCAACCUGCCUAAUCCACCUUCGCUCAAGGUCCUCAACUCUAUCCUCGAUCUCCUCGUCGUCGACAACAUUGAUCACAGCAGACAUUUCUUCCGGAAGAAGAUGAAAGGCCGCGGAGAUGAUCACACAUUUGGUAUUCUUAUGAAGGGUCUCUGCCGCACCAAUCGCAUUGCAGAGGGAUUUAAGCUGCUCACAUUAAUGAAAAAGACUGGUUUGAAGCCCAACCCAGUGAUCUAUAACACUCUUAUCCAUGCACUCUGCAGGAAUGGGAAGGUCGGGAGGGCUCGAAGCUUGAUGGCAGAGAUGGACAACCCGAGCGAUGUCACCUUCAGUAUAUUAAUCUCGGCUUAUUGUAGAGAGGGUAGUUUGGUGCAGGCGCUAGUCAUGUUGGAGAAAAGUUUUGAUUUUGGGUUUGUUCCUGAUGCCAUUACAGUGACUAAGAUAGUGGAGCUGCUUUGUGGCCAUGACAGAGCCAUGGAGGCAAUGGAGAUUUUUGAGAGAGUGGAAAAGAGGGGUGGUGUUGUUGACAUUGUAGCUUAUAAUACAUUGAUAAAAGGAUAUUGUGAAGUGGCGAAGCCAGAAGUUGGAAGGAGGGUUAUGAGGGAAAUAGAGAGGAAGGGGUGCCUCCCAAAUACACAGACUUACAAUGUUCUCAUCUCUGGUUUCUGUGAAUCAGAGAAAAUGGAUUCUGCAAUUGAUCUUUUCAGAGAGAUGGAGAUGGAUGGCAUCAGUCCAGGGUUCAAUACAUAUGACACUUUGAUUAGAGGAUUUUGCUUGGCAGGAAGGGUUGGAGAUGGAUUAAAGUUAUUGAAUUUGAUGGAAGAACAAUGGGGAGAGAAUGUCAACUACAUAAGUCCUUAUAACUAUAUCCUCUAUGGGUACUACAAGGAAGGAAGAAUGGAAGAAGCCUAUGAGUUUCUCCAUAAAAGAAUGGGAAGUUCUUUUCCUAGAGCAAAAGAGAGGAGCUUGAGGAUACUUAGUUUUUGUACUGAGGAUAGGAUUGAAGAAGCUUUGUUGGUUUAUGAGGGAAUGGUCAACGAAGGAGAUUUGCCAAGCGUUCUGGUUUAUGCUAGCUUAAUCCAAGGGCUCUGCAAACAAGGAGAAGUGCGGAAAGCAUUUCAUAUGAUGAAUGCGAUGAUGGAGAAGGGAUUCUUUCCAUUAGCUUUGACUUUCAACUUUUUGAUUCAAUGCUUCUGUGACACAGGUAUGUGGUCAUUCUAUUUUUUUCAAAAAUGAAGGUAACAUGAUCAAACAAAGUGGGUUUAAUGGUGGAUCUUCCUUCUAGCUUGAACCAUAAGGAAAAUCAUGUGGUAUAUGGGCAAUGUUUGUCCCUAAAAAAAAUUUAAAAGUUUUGGUGAGUUUGUUGGGGUGCUGCGCGUCAGAUACCAGUGCCAUAAUGUUGUGAUAUGAGGCCCUAAUGAAUUUUUUCCCGAGAGCUCAAAGUUGCAGCGUCGGGUGACCAGCGCCGCAACGCCAAUUCCAACUCCCCAGCGCCCAAAGUAAGUGCCACGGUGCUAUUCCAAGUCAUGCAAGUUCAGUGGAUGAGACAGAUCCAACUCCACAAUGUUACCACAUUCAAUGCUGCCUAUCAAAACCAGCCUAAAGGAUCAAAAGAUUGAGAAGGCCAAGCCGUGGUGCCAAGAACCAGAGUCGCAGCACCACAACAUUAGUUUUGAGUGCUGCAAUCUAGAGCCAGUGCCAUAACCUCAGUAACUUUAAAGCCGCGACACUAUGACUUGACAAGGCAAUUAUUGAAUGCACAUUUUGAUUUUCUUGGAGGGAGAGCAGCUAUAUAUGUAUGUAUUGUUAAAAAGGUGUGCUGGAGUGUCUAAGGUAGGCUUUAACAAGAGUCUUUCAGUGUGAGUGAGUGCCUUGUGUGAUGUCUUCUUUGUUUGAGAGUUUAAGCGUGUUAUUUCUUGUGCUGGUGAAGCAAAGGGAUGAAUCAAGUGAAAUGUUCGGAGAUUUCUGAAAUUAUCAGUCUUUAUCAUUUAGUUUAUGUUCUUUUCUUAACUCACACUUUGUAAACACACCCUUGUAUUGUUGAAUAGAUUUAUUUGUGAUAUUUUAUAGUA